ensembl:snRNA U6 U6 spliceosomal RNA
CAGGGUAUUUGCCCACAUGUACUAAAAUUAAAAUGAUACAGAGAAGAUUGGCAUGGCCCCUGCACAGGGAUCUAACUUCUCAUACACAUGGUGUGGUCUUGCUA